rnacentral:misc_RNA from 1 species
GAAAUGCGAUAAGUAAUGUGAAUUGCAGAAUUCAGUGAAUCAUCGAAUCUUUGAACGCACAUUGCGCCCCCUGGUAUUCCGGGGGGCAUGCCUGUUCGAGCGUCAUUUCACCACUCAAGCCUCGCUUGGUAUUGGGCGACGCGGUCCGCCGCGCGCCUCAAAUCGACCGGCUGGGUCUUUCGUCCCCUCAGCGUUGUGGAAACUAUUCGCUAAAGGGUGCCGCGGGAGGCCACGCCGUAAAACAACCCCAUUUCUAAGGUAGACCUCGGAUCAGGUAGGGAUACCCGCUGAACUUAAGC